CCACACACCACACUUCCCCCGUGUCUCCCUGACUCCCUUCCUCUUUUCCCUUUUUAGUUUCCCCUUUCCCCAACGCCAGGAGAUUAAGAAAUCACUUUCCCCAGAUCCAGAGCAUUCUUGGCGAGGCGAAGGUAAGAAUUUAUUCCCAAUCCCAAGCUUUGUUUUUUCUGUCUAAUGGUGGUGAUUAAAGACAAAAAAUUUCUAGGUAUUCUGUGAAUCUGUGUUU
rnacentral:lncRNA from 1 species